AUCCUGCGGUGCGGCUCCAGCUCUGCUGCCCAGCCCGUGGUCGGAAGGUGGCUCUUCCUGCCGGUCCUGAGGUACCCGAGCUGCAGAAAAAGGAGCAACUGGGGAAAGAUUUCUGCAAAAGAGGUGGUGUCAACUCUAGUCCCUGGACACAGCUACUCGGUGCCUAUGUCAUGGAAACAAUAAGCUCUCAUUGGAGCAUGGCCUGAAGCCCUGGAUGUCCUGCUGUCCAGGCUCCCUCCCUGGUUUGUAUCCCAGUGUGGAGAGUGACUGGCAUUGAAUGAGAGCACAGAGUGAAGAGAGAGCAGCCUGCAGAGUCCUACAUGCUCCUCCCUCCUGCAGAAGCCCGUGGGCAGAGAGAGGAGCUGCUGGUGAACACUGACAAUGGUCAUCAAGUUCUCUGAGAUGGUCACCCAGGGCCCCUGAGAGCAUGCCAGUGUGGUAUUGGAUGUCUUCACUGAAAUCACAUUUUUCAACAGAGGGUUCAGAGGGCUGCUCAUUCUGGGUGCUGACUGAGGUCACCUGUAGAAGUGUUUGUCCCAGCUCACCUCCAGUCAGCUAAAGCUGUGCAUGCCUGACAGCUCCACUUAUUACUGGUGAAAUUUCUAUGUCAGGGCCUAGUUCUAAAUUUCAUUUUCACUGGAAGCAGGAUUAGCUCCAAGUAUACAUAAGCACAUACUUUGAAGAAUGUAUCUUUGUGCUGAAGGCAGUGUCUAUGCAGACAUUUAUAGUUAGGCACUUUACUGUAAAAAUAACAUGAGAGCAAGUGUUUUGAUGACAACAGCACUGCUAACCAGAAAGUUAUCUAAUGCUUUAUAUGCAAAUACAUGUAAAGGGUGAAAAAUUGGAUGUUUUGGUAUAAUAAUUUUUCUAUUGUGAUCAGAUAUGCAUAUACAAAUAGCUUUCAUGCUGGCAACCUGAUAAACAUGAGCAGCCAGCAACUAAUACAAAGAUGGUCUCUCCUCUAACAAAUGAGCACUAUUUGUGGUGUUUAAUACUGCAAUGAUUAGCAGUGAUGUGUAAUCCCUCUGCCCAGGACCUCCCCAGCCUGCUGGGCAGAUGUUCUUGCAGAUUUUGGCACUUGAAAGUGAAAUCUGCUCUUCCUUAACCCCCAAAUUUUCAUGAGUGACAAUGUUUUCCUCUUCCUCUUAUCUCUCAUAAUUAUUUCAGUUCUUUUUUUGACUCUGGUAACACUUCCACUUACCUUAGUCAUUGUCUUUCUGCCUCAAAUGUAAUCUUUUUUUUUUUUUUUUUUUUUUUUAAUGGAUCACAUUUGUCUCCGUAUCUUCUGCUCAGGUAGUUUUCCCACAAGUGGCACUGUUGUUCUUUGGGGUGAUGUUAGGGCUUAGGGAUGUGUUAGGAAUGCCAAAUGUCACUAGGCCUGUACAGAAUUCUUGGCCCACAGUAAAAAUAAGAGUUUCCCUAGGGACCCUGAUUAUGUGGGACAAACCAUGGAGAUUGAGGGUGAGUUUGUCAUGCUUGGGCUGAGUCUUUCAAGGGCCACGGAGAGACCAAAAAAACUUGUCCAAAAUGUCUCAUUUAGGCUAUGGUGGGUUGCCCCUGAAAGUUAUUGUCACAUGAAAGGUGCUUUUAUCCCCCCAAAAAACCUCCAAACAACAAAAACCUCACUGUUUUCAUAAUCUGUUAAAAGAUGACUGAGAGCCUAAGAGAAGAGACUGUAUUUUUCUAACAUGUUGUCAUAGUUGUGCCUGAGAACAGUCUGUGAAAAAAUAUACCUGCGGCUCAGCCUGAAAAUUGCCUCCCAACAGUUAACCAAGUUAUCACUUUCCUCUGGGAUCAAGUUGAAAUGUAAUUAAGGUUAUGUCACUUUGGAGGAGUUCACUGGUGACAUGGUGGGUAGAGGGAGGCAAGCCUGUGGAGAUGAAAUAUGCUGGAAAUUAGCAUGAGGUAUUAUGUACUCACACCAGUCUUUAGUGUGUCCUGGCAGUUUGUCAUGAGAGAGUCUCUUGAAUGGUGAUGCUUUGACUGUGACAUACAACGUGAAAAUGGGUGUUGAACAGGAAGGCAGGUGUGAUGGGGAAUUUUCUAGAGUAUUUGGUCUAAACUUAAUAUAAACAGAUUACUGGGGGCAGGGGGAAGUGUGACUAAAUAACUACUGGCAUCCUUUAUCUGUGUGGAAGCAAGAGAGCUUGUCCUUGAAGUGAGAAAUUUCUAAAGUAACAGUUUCUAAAGUAUAAUCUGCUCAGAUUUUGUUACUUCCCAGCAUGUCUAGAGGUUAGAGACUGCAUCAAAGAGAGUAAAGCCUUUUACUCUUCAUUUUUAUUGUCCGUUUUUAUAAUUAGAAUUGGAAACUGUCAUUUAGCAGCAAAUUUAAAAUAAAAACAUAACUUUCACAAAGUCCUCAAAGAAAACAAAAAAUCUUAUAGGUGUUGACACAUCCUAUCAUCAGGUUUAGAAGGUAAGUACCAGAAAAACGAUUGUUAUCAGGUGUGAAUUAACAUACAGUGAGUUUGCUCACAGCUGAAGAAGGUGACAGAUAUAACAUAUGCAUUAAUAAAAGCCCAAAUGGAAGGUAUGGCCAUAAUUAGAAAUGGUACUUGAAGAAAUGCUAUUGAUUCCAGGAACUGAAUUUAAUUUGAUGGCUUUUACUGUAAUUAACACAAUUGUUUGUAUCAGCAUAGAUCUCUUAAUAUUAUUGUCUAAGCUGACAAAUUAUAAGAUUAAAUGUUCAUUUAAGAUGUAAUUCAAAAAAUUUUAAAGACUUUCUUGAGUCAAUGUGUCUCAGUUAAUUUCUUUAAAGCUAAAGGACCUGAUUUUUUCUGCCAAUUUUCAGUGACUGAAGCUACUCCUGAUUUAUAUCAAUGCUGCAAUGAAAGCAACAUAAACAAAGGAAGCAUUCACAGGUUCUGAUGAGUUCUUGACAGCCCCUAUUGCCUAUACUUUGCAGGCUUGAAAGGUAUUUUCUUUGUAGCAUUAGAUUUUAAUGGUACUGAAUGUAACGUGCACAUAUAAUAGCAAUAAUUCACUUUUCUUGUGUUUGCGCAUUUACCUUGUCAUAUAUCUGCUAGAUGCAGGGUCUGGUUCUCUUCUCUUUUACACCUGUUUUACCCAAGGGCUGUUUAUUUUGAUGCAGUUACUCCUGAUUUAGAUCUGUGUAUAUGAAUCUGUUAUCUGCGAGAGGUAAAUUAAUGCUUUUAAUCAAGGCCACUCUUCUGCCUACCCAUCAACAUCAAAGCCUAGACAUGCUAUUAGUUAUUGAGAAAGGGAGCACAGUGUGAGUAAGCAGCCCUCAGCUAUCUCUGGAUCCCCAUUACCAGAAUUUUAGCACCAUUACCUCAAAACCAUGAAUACUUUUAUCCUCUCAGUCACUUGGAAAGGCUAUAUAGCCACAUUUUGCAGACCAAAACCACAAAGGGAAGCAGAAUUUGGACAGAAAUAAGGUGCUUAAAUCCCAGUGUAACUCUUAAGACCAUUUUCAGCAGCUGCUACCCAAAGUCUCCCUACUUGGAAGGUGGCUUUAUUGUGGAUCCCACAUACCUGAAGAUUUUUUUUUUUUUAACAUACUUUGAAGGACCCUGACCUUGUCAGGUCAUAGCAACUACCUGUUCCAAGCCUUGCUCUGUCAGAAAGGACGCCUCAGCAGGAUUCUCUCCACAGGGUGGU